GCCGGCGACCGGCGCACGGGUGAGUAACACGUAUCCAACCUUCCGGUUACUCGGGAAUAGCCUUUCGAAAGAAAGAUUAAUGCCCGAUGGCAUAGGGUUUCCGCAUGGAAACCUUAUUAAAGAUUUAUCGGUAACCGAUGGGGAUGCGUUCCAUUAGGCAGUUGGCGGGGUAACGGCCCACCAAACCGACGAUGGAUAGGGGUUCUGAGAGGAAGGUCCCCCACAUUGGAACUGAGACACGGUCCAAACUCCUACGGGAGGCAGCAGUGAGGAAUAUUGGUCAAUGGGCGAGAGCCUGAACCAGCCAAGUAGCGUGAAGGAUGACUGCCCUAUGGGUUGUAAACUUCUUUUAUACGGGAAUAACAAGCGGCACGUGUGCCGCUCUGCAUGUACCGUAUGAAUAAGCAUCGGCUAACUCCGUGCCAGCAGCCGCGGUAAUACGGAGGAUGCGAGCGUUAUCCGGAUUUAUUGGGUUUAAAGGGAGCGCAGACGGGUCUUUAAGUCAGUUGUGAAAGUUUGCGGCUCAACCGUAAAAUUGCAGUUGAUACUGGAGACCUUGAGUGCGGUAUAGGCAGGCGGAAUUCGUGGUGUAGCGGUGAAAUGCUUAGAUAUCACGAAGAACUCCGAUU
rnacentral:rRNA from 1 species